UGCUGGAUGCUAAUUUUCUUGUUUCACAUUUCAGAUACAAAGAUAUUCUAAAUUCAGCAAUGGAUUAAGGGUCUGAAACUUGAAUUUCAUUUCCAUAUGAUCAUGAGUACUGGAUGCACAACAGCUGCAGGAGUGAAUUUUUGAUUUGGCAUUUCUUUUCUUAUACCUUCCACCCAAUUUUUGAGACUUCUACAAACAUGUAAUUUGUGACAGAAUAAGACUGCUCACAUGUAUGAAUUUACAUAUGUUGCCUGUGUUUGAGAAACUGGGCUCUGGCUGGGAAACCUCCAAGAAAAGGAGCAGGUUCUACAGAAACGGUACUUGUCAUUCAGCAGAUGGCACUCUCCCCUCAAAGUGACUGAAAGCAGUGCUGCCUCUGAUACAUGGGAGAAUGUGCUUUUGGAGAAGACUUAUUUCACAUCAUCCCAAAGAACCUGGAUUUUUGUAACUACUAAAGAUCCCAGGGUAUUUUUCUCCAAAGGCGGAGAUAAGUGCCUGAUGCCUUGGAUGUGUUAUGGGGGCAACUGUACUCUCAAUACAGAAAUCUUUUUGAACUUCAAAUGACUUUUUGCUUCCUGAUCUUAAACUACUGUGUAGCCUUCCAGUUAUCUCCAUGAAGUGGCUGCCAGAAAAAUGUAUGUGUGUACAUGUGUAUAUUAUAUGAUCGCAUGUAGACGUGUAUGCAUACCACCCUUAUGCACACAGAAUUUAUAAAUCUGAGCAUUCUGAGGCUGGCAACAAGCAUGACUCAAUCAGUAAUAUUAUCUUAUGCAGUACAAUUAAGCUUCCACUGACAUCAACGAGAACUAGUUCAGAUAAGAGUGCAUUGUUAUUGUUACCAAUCAGACUAUUAGAAAUAUAUCUGUAUAAAUUAUUCCAAGUAGAACUAUUUUCACAGCUUUUUGUCAAGAUUUGCAUGACAUGUUCCAGGCUUGAGUUUGCUUUCACAUAAUCAACCAUGUAGAUUCACAUAUCCCAUGAAAUGAGCUAAUGCACUUGCACAUACACCAGUCAUAAUGCAUGCAAUUCUAUGGGUCCUGUCCUUUGUUGUUGUUUUUUUCCAGUUAAUCCCUUAAUCAUUUUCAUGUAAAUCACUGAUAACAUAUCACUAUAGUUUGAAGUAAGUUUAAAAUAUGGUAGUCAGUUGUAUUGCCUCAGAAUGUAAUAUUCAUUAAAAAAGGUAGCCACCUUGAAAGUUCCCCAGAUUUUCUCCCAUUGUUCUAUCAGAUAUAACUAAGUUUCCAGAACUGUUUCUUCACAGACUGUUUAGGACACCAGAGAAGCAAUCACACUUGGAUUAUUUAGUAAGUUGUCUUAAAAAAACCUGCUGAAAAUCUCUCUUCUAUAGUCUAAUCAUUAAUAAUCUAAAACGAAAUGGAAAAAUACAAGGAAUUAUAUCUCUCCCUUUGUA